UACGUAGGGUGCAAGCGUUAAUCGGAAUUACUGGGCGUAAAGCGUGCGCAGGCGGUCUUGCAAGACAGAUGUGAAAUGCCCGGGCUUAACCUGGGAACUGCAUUUGUGACUGCAUGGCUAGAGUUUGGCAGAGGGGGGUAGAAUUCCACGUGUAGCAGUGAAAUGCGUAGAUAUGUGGAGGAACACCGAUGGCGAAGGCAGCCCCCUGGGUCAAGACUGACGCUCAUGCACGAAAGCGUGGGGAGCAAACAGG
rnacentral:rRNA from 1 species